rnacentral:rRNA from 1 species
GUGCCAGCAGCGCGGUAAUACAGAGGUCCCAAGCGUUGUUCGGAUUCACUGGGCGUAAAGGGUGCGUAGGUGGCAAGGUAAGUUCGGUGUGAAAUCCCCGGGCUUAACCCGGAAAUGGCAUUGAAUACUAUCUUGCUCGAGGGUUGGAGGGGGGACUGGAAUUCUCGGUGUAGCAGUGAAAUGCGUAGAUAUCGAGAGGAACACCAGUGGCGAAGGCGAGUCCCUGGACAACUCCUGACACUGAGGCACGAAAGCUAGGGGAGCAAACAGG